ensembl:lncRNA LINC01270 long intergenic non-protein coding RNA 1270
AGAACUCGGGUAUUAAUGACCCGGAGCCACAUGACGGAGCAUGACACAGCACUUUUGGGCACAAGGCAGGGCCCAGAGGGGUGCGUGGGGGCCGCAGCCCAGCCCCCAAGCCCCGCCAGCGGCUUUACUGGGGUGUAACAAACACACGAUAAACUGCGCAUAUUCCAGUGUUCAUGUGGAUGAGUUUGGACAUAUGCACACACUUCCGAAACCACCAGCACAAUCAAGACAGCAGACAUAUCCAUCGCCCCCAAGGGUGUCCUUGUGUCUUUUUGUCAUUCAUCCCUCCCGGCCGCCCCAUCCACACUCCCAUCGCCUGCCGACUGUGGCUGAUCUGCUUUCUGCGGCUGUGGAUUAGUUUGCGUUCUCUACAAUUUUCUGCUCCUGGAGCUGCCAGGCAGUAAUUAACCCUCACAGCACCCUUCUGAAGUCAGCACUGGAGGCAGACGUGUGAUGAAACACGUUUAUUACAGGAAGCACCAGUUAGCCCAGAUGCUUCUCAUCUUUGGAGUUGAGCUGCAGGCUGGAGACCUGGAAGGCCCUCGCAGCGCCUGCUCCCAUCCUCUCACCUCACGAAAGCGCAGGAAUGUGGGUUUGGAGCCAAUGAAAAGUACUGGAAUCUGGCUCUGCUCUGUGACCCUGGACAAGUCACUGCCCCUCUCUGGGCUUCAGUUUCCUCCUUGCUCCAUGAGGGCAGGGGAUUUUGUCUGUUUCAUUCACAAUGUGUUCCCAGAGCUCAGCACAGUGUCAGGCACACACUAGUGCUGGAACGUUCCUGGGAUCUAGGGAGCUGACUCCAGUCCUGGAAGCUGUCCCAGAAUUCUGGAAUGUUGGAAUUCAAACGGCCUCCUGCCCAUUUUCCGGAGGAGGAACAUAAGACCCAGAGAGGGGAAGGGGUUGGCCUGAGGUCAUACAAUGUGCAGAGACGAGCUAGAGUUUGCUGGGAGAAGGUGCGGGUGUGUGGACAAGUCAGCAUCUAUCUCCCAUUUUCAGGGUUGGCCAUGAUUUGUGAAGGAGAUGCCAUUUUCCAUUGGAUGGACAGUGAGCAAGUGAACGCUUAGAGAAGAAGAGGACAAAACAAGGGAAAAGCCUGCCUGACAGGAAGCAGCACAGAGCUGGACAGGCUUUGAACUCCUGGAUCCCACUGUACCUGAAAUUAGGCACCUUCAACUUUCUAGUUAUGUGAGCCACUGUCUUUCCCAUUUUUGGCUGAAAACAGUUGGGACUGGCUUUCUGUCCCUUGCAUACAGAAGGUGCUGACUGACCCCUGCCCCAUGGAAGAAGAUACUCCAGGCAGAGGAAAUAGUGUGUAUAGACACCCCUAAGCGAAUGCCAAGCGGGGCACUCAUGUAC